rnacentral:rRNA from 1 species
UGAAUACGAGACGCUACGGCGUCGAAGCAGUCUAUGUCAUACUUCCAAGAAAAGCUUGCACUGUCAUAAACAAAUAAUGCCUGUACCAUAACCGACACAGGUGGGUAGGUAGAGUAUACUAAGGGGCGCGAGAUAACUCUCUCUAAGGAACUCGGCAAAAUGACUCCGUAACUUCGGGAGAAGGAGUGCCUUAUUUAUAAGGUUGCAAUAACAAGAUCCAAGCAACUGUUUAUCAAAAACACAGGUCUCCGCUAAGUCGUAAGACGAUGUAUGGGGGCUGACGCCUGCCCAGUGCCAGAAGGUUAAAGAAGUUGGUUAGUGUAUGCGAAGCUGAUGACUGAAGCCCUGGUGAACGGCGGCCGUAACAAUAACGGUCCUAAGGUAGCGAAAUUCCUUGUCGGGUAAGUUCCGACCCGCACGAAAGGCGUAAUGAUUUGGAUACUGUCUCGGAGAGAGGCUCGGUGAAAUAGACUUGUCUGUGAAGAUGCGGACUACCUGCACCAGGACAGAAAGACCCUAUGAAGCUUUACUGUAACUUGAAAUUGGAAUUGGACUUUGCUUGCGCAGUAUAGGUGGGAAGCGUUGAAGAUAUUCUUGCGGGAGUAUUGGAGCUAUCAGUGAGAUACCACUCUUGUAAUGUUAGAUUUCUAACUUUGAACCAUAAUCUGGUCAAAGAACAGUUUCAGGUGGGCAGUUUGACUGGGGCGGUCGCCUCCCAAAUGGUAACGGAGGCGUACAAAGGUUUCCUCUGAACGGAUAGAAAUCGUAUCUAGAGUGUAAAGGCAUAAGGAAGCUUGACUGUGAGACCUACAAGUCGAGCAGGGACGAAAGUCGGUCUUAGUGAUCUGACGGUACUGAGUGGAAAGGCCGUCACUCAACGGAUAAAAGUUACUCUAGGGAUAACAGGCUGAUCUCCCCCAAGAGUUCACAUCGACGGGGAGGUUUGGCACCUCGAUGUCGGCUCAUCGCAUCCUGGGGCGGUAGUACGUCCCAAGGGUUGGGCUGUUCGCCCAUGAAAGCGGUACGCGAGCUGGGUUCAGAACGUCGUGAGACAGUUCGGUCCAUAUCCGGUGUAGGCGUUAGAAUAUUGAGAGGAGCCUUCUUUAGUACGAGAGGACCGAGAAGGACACACCGCUGGUGUACCAGUUAUCGUGCCAACGGUAAACGCUGGGUAGCUAUGUGUGGAGUGGAUAACCGCUGAAAGCAUCUAAGUGGGAAGCCCACCUCAAGAUGAGUAUUCUCAC